UAUGUAUCAAGCAUGCUCCAAACUAUGUGUAGUUUAUCUUUGCAUUGCUGAACACAGUAUCUUGCAUAUAGGUACCAGUCCACAAAUAUUUUUUAAUUAAUAGAUAAAUUACUGUGAGGUUUUUUGUUGUUUUUAGUUAUACACAACAAUAGAAUAUAUUUUGAUGUAUUUACACAAACAUGGAAUGCCUCUUAUUCUAAUUAGAAUCCCAGUCUUGUGGUGAUACAUUAUGUAAAUAUUAACUGUGGUGUAUUCGUAUAUGUACAUAGGAAAGUUAUGUCUGAUUGAGUCCACCAUCUUUAACUGUAAAGAACUGAAAUCUUCUUUACUGGCUUGGAUCUACAGCUUUUGACAUAGUCAGAGCUUAAAGCCCAUUUUUUUUUUUUUUUAAGAUUCGGUUGCUCAGGCAACAAGAUUUUUCCAUGCCUGCUUGCCUCCUGUUGCCAAGGCAACCCAGGGUAUAGUUGGCAAGCUGGUUUGAGACAUCAGAUGUUUGCAGUACCAGAGAUGCCUGUGGUUCACAACUUCUUUGAUAAAUUGGUGAUGCAUAUUUGUGUUUGAGAGUAUGCUUCUGUCUCUAAUCUCUGUAUAUAGAGAUGAUUAUGGUCUUUGUGAUCAUAAGGCAUCAAAGAUGCGACCUGAAAGACCCCUGUGCCAUCCUAGAACCUGUGAUUAUUCCCACCUUUAACAGAUGUCUUGCUUAUUUUUACUUGUGGCUAUUUUCUCCUCAGCCCUUUUUCAUAAUCUGAAUCUAGUUUUCCUUUGAUGAAAUGGAUUCUUCUUGAUCAUGACUUGCUAGAAUCAACCUGGCUUAGCUGCCAAUAUCAUAGUCCAGCCGUCUUCCAAGCAAAACAAAACAAAUAAAAUGGAAACAAAACAAUGCCCCACUUGAUUCCUUUCCUGCAACAGUUCUACACUCUGCUGGCAUAUUGCUCAUCUGUGUCUGGCUGUCACUGCAAUAUGAGUGCAGGGCACAGGAGCAUCAUACGCUUCCUGGUCCUGAUAGAAGCUCUAUUAACUUUAUAGAUAGAUGACGGCCCUUAUUGAAUAUGAGAGCUCAACCCUACCUAAUGUCACUUAUUAACACAAGACAUGCUUAUGAAUGUCACUGCCCAGAAGAGACUUUCAGCUGUAAAAUCCUAGUUAGCUCCUCUGGUGUAGUUGCUAGAGCCUCGGAAGGCAUAUUCUUAAUAUUGUAAGCCAAGCUUCUCAUUUUAAAAGGUUAAAACUUUUUAAAUUAUUGUCAACAUCAAACAGUGUUGACUACUUUUCACAAUUUAAUUAUGUGAUACACUAAAAUCCAUGUGAAAAUAUUUUCUUCAUUCAGAGAUAUAUUUAAAGAAAUUCUUAUGGGAGAGACAAGUCUAGAGCUUUAUUUCCUUCAUAGCCAGGACUUUGGUGACAAAAUAAUUGGCCCAAUAAUUCAUGCUCUGUUUGAAUUAAUUCAGUGAAUAGUCUAUCGAAAAUUAAAAACAAAAAAAAACAACAACGACAACUCAUGUCUGUGUUCUCCACCUUACCCAUUAGUGAUUUGGGGUGGAAGUUGUAGGCUUAUGCUCAUUUUUGACAUCUCCAGGUUCUCUUUUGACUUAUGAAUUCUGACAAGGUCACAGCAGAUCUGAAGAGUCCUGCAGGUGAUGGACUUUUGGAAUCCUUUCAACCUCCGAGGCCCUGAAAUCCUUUGGUCAGUCUGAAGUGCUACUGGCUAGCACUCAUGUUAAAAACUUUCAGAGGUCACAUUCUUCAAUAUGUUUGGGCCUUUUCACCAAAAAAAAUGUCUGGAAUGUUUCCUUUGUGUUUUCCAGCUUGAGCUAUUAUGGGAACGCCAUCCUCUGUGGCCAUAAUGUUCCAGUGGACAUAAACACUCCACAUGCUUCCAAUCUAGAGAGAGGCCGACUUCCCUCAGGCUCUGCAUAAUUUCAGUCAUUUGUCCAUCUGUGGGCAAAAACAAUUGCACAGUAGAAGCUGUCACCACUGAUCACAAUGAAUCCGUUCUGUUUUGAAGUUUCAGAUGACUAUUUUCUUAUGGUUAAUGAUAUAGUUUCCAGAGAAAUCAAUGUAUUUUUUUCCGGUUAUACCUAAUAAUCUCUUAAGUUCUAAGACUAUGGAGAUUGGUUCUUUUUGCCAUCCCCUCUCUAGUGUCUAGCACAGUGCCUACUUGGAGUAGGAAGUCAAUAACUAUUUAGUGAAUAUUCGAAUAAAUGAGUAAAUGUGUGAUAUUUCUUUAUAAACAUUCACCAAAGUUAAUUAAGGAGGAAUUUAGAAUUAUAUAAAGGAGUAACAAGGGUGAUACAACCUGGUGUUGCCAGGAGGGCCUCGUUCACAUAUCCUACUAUGUAUUAUAUUUUUCAAUAUGUGCAAGUAUAUGAAAUAUUGAAUUCUUCAGGACAACAACAAUAGUCAUCUAACUCAGUAUGUGAGUGGUUACCAGCUUUUCAGGAACACCCAUAAACUUGGAUAAAAGUUCUCCAUAAGUUGGAUUUUUUAUUCACCUUUUAAGAUGAUGAGGCCUGUUUUGGGCUACUACUGUAGGGUUAGCAACUAUAUGGCCUGACUGUAAUGUGUAUAUAAGGACUUCAUUCUACGGAAGCAUCAGUGUUAAAUAUGGAGAGUGCUGGGCACCUGUGACUGACUCUUGAACAGUUGAAAUGUGGCUGGCAUAACCAAGGAACUAAAUUUUCUAGUUUCA
rnacentral:lncRNA from 1 species